rnacentral:tRNA from 1 species
GGGGUUAUAGCUCAGUGGUAGAGCAUGUGCUUAGCACACACACGUCCCUAGGUUCAAGCCCCAGUACCA